rnacentral:rRNA from 1 species
GACGAACGCUGGCGGCGUGCUUAACACAUGCAAGUCGAACGGAAAGGCCCUGCUUUUGUGGGGUGCUCGAGUGGCGAACGGGUGAGUAACACGUGAGUAACCUGCCCUUGACUUUGGGAUAACUUCAGGAAACUGGGGCUAAUACCGGAUAGGGGCUCCUGCUGCAUGGUGGGGGUUGGAAAGUUUCGGCGGUUGGGGAUGGACUCGCGGCUUAUCAGCUUGUUGGUGGGGUAGUGGCUUACCAAGGCUUUGACGGGUAGCCGGCCUGAGAGGGUGACCGGCCACAUUGGGACUGAGAUACGGCCCAGACUCCUACGGGAGGCAGCAGUGGGGAAUAUUGCACAAUGGGCGGAAGCCUGAUGCAGCAACGCCGCGUGCGGGAUGACGGCCUUCGGGUUGUAAACCGCUUUCGCCUGUGACGAAGCGUGAGUGACGGUAAUGGGUAAAGAAGCACCGGCUAACUACGUGCCAGCAGCCGCGGUGAUACGUAGGGUGCGAGCGUUGUCCGGAUUUAUUGGGCGUAAAGGGCUCGUAGGUGGUUGAUCGCGUCGGAAGUGUAAUCUUGGGGCUUAACCCUGAGCGUGCUUUCGAUACGGGUUGACUUGAGGAAGGUAGGGGAGAAUGGAAUUCCUGGUGGAGCGGUGGAAUGCGCAGAUAUCAGGAGGAACACCAGUGGCGAAGGCGGUUCUCUGGGCCUUUCCUGACGCUGAGGAGCGAAAGCGUGGGGAGCGAACAGGCUUAGAUACCCUGGUAGUCCACGCUGUAAACGGUGGGUACUAGGUGUGGGGUCCAUUCCACGGGUUCCGUGCCGUAGCUAACGCUUUAAGUACCCCGCCUGGGGAGUACGGCCGCAAGGCUGAAACUCAAAGGAAUUGACGGGGCCCCGCACAAGCGGCGGAGCAUGCGGAUUAAUUCGAUGCAACGCGUAGAACCUUACCUGGGUUUGACAUGGAUCGGGAGUGCUCAGAGAUGGGUGUGCCUCUUUUGGGGUCGGUUCACAGGUGGUGCAUGGCUGUCGUCAGCUCGUGUCGUGAGAUGUUGGGUUAAGUCCCGCAACGAGCGCAACCCUUGUUCACUGUUGCCAGCACGUUAUGGUGGGGACUCAGUGGAGACCGCCGGGGUCAACUCGGAGGAAGGUGGGGAUGACGUCAAGUCAUCAUGCCCCUUAUGUCCAGGGCUUCACGCAUGCUACAAUGGCUGGUACAGAGAGUGGCGAGCCUGUGAGGGUGAGCGAAUCUCGGAAAGCCGGUCUCAGUUCGGAUUGGGGUCUGCAACUCGACCUCAUGAAGUCGGAGUCGCUAGUAAUCGCAGAUCAGCAACGCUGCGGUGAAUACGUUCCCGGGGCU